CAAUAGCGUAUAUUAAAGUUGUUGCAGUUAAAAAGCUCGUAGUUGGAUUUCUGGUCGGAAGCUCCUGUCCUCUGAUGAGCGUACAAGUGCGUCCUACCAUCCUUCUGUUAACCUUUAAGGCUUUCGCGGCUUUCUAGGGGCUCAGAUAUUUUACCUUGAGAAAAUUAGAGUGUUUCAGGCAGGCUAGCGCCGGAAUACAUUAGCAUGGAAUAAUGGAAUAGGACUUUUGCCUCUUCUGUUGGUCAUGAGGCUCGAGUAAUGAUUAAUAGGGAUAGUUGGGGGCAUUAGUACUUAACUGUCAGAGGCGAAAUUCUCGGAUUUGUUAAAGACUAACUUAUGCGAAAGCAUUUGCCAAGGAUGUUUNCAUUA
rnacentral:rRNA from 1 species